rnacentral:rRNA from 1 species
AGAAUCAACGCUGGCGGCGUGCCUCAGACAUGCAAGUCGAACGCGAAAGUUCCCUUCGGGGGGCGAGUAGAGUGGCGCACGGGUGAGUAACACGUAGGUAAUCUACCUUCGGAUGGGGAAUAACAACCGGAAACGGUUGCUAAUACCGCAUAGUGCAGCGGCACCUAAUGGUGACAGUUGUUAAAGCGGGGGAUCGAAGGACCUCGCGUCUGAAGAGGAGCCUGCGGCGGAUUAGCUAGUUGGUAAGGUAAUGGCUUACCAAGGCUACGAUCCGUAACGGCCUGAGAGGGCGGUCGGUCACACUGACACUGACAUACGGGUCAGACUCCUACGGGAGCAGCAGUCGGAAUUUUGGGCAAGUGGGCGAAAGCCUGACCCAGCAACGCCGACGUCGAAGGAUAGGAAAUUCCCUACGGGGAUCGGUAAAACUUCGACGAAAGAAACGGGAAGAAAGUAAGGUAAGGGAACAACGUAACCCCCCUAUAGAU